rnacentral:rRNA from 1 species
GAUGAACGCUAGCGGCAGGCUUAACACAUGCAAGUCGAGGGGUAACAGGGAAGCUUGCUUCCGCUGACGACCGGCGCACGGGUGCGUAACGCGUAUAGAACCUACCUUUUACAGAGGGAUAGCCUUUAGAAAUGAAGAUUAAUACCUCAUAGUAUUGCGAGAUGGCAUCAUUUUGUAAUUAAAGAUUUAUCGGUAAAAGAUGGCUAUGCGUCCUAUUAGCUAGAUGGAGAGGUAACGGCUCCCCAUGGCAAUGAUAGGUAGGGGUCCUGAGAGGGAGAUCCCCCACACUGGUACUGAGACACGGACCAGACUCCUACGGGAGGCAGCAGUGAGGAAUAUUGGGCAAUGGAGGCAACUCUGACCCAGCCAUGCCGCGUGCAGGAAGACUGCCCUAUGGGUUGUAAACUGCUUUUAUACGGGAAGAAACACCGCUACGUGUAGCGGCUUGACGGUACCGUAAGAAUAAGCACCGGCUAACUCCG